UGGGGAAUUUUGGACAAUGGGCGAAAGCCUGAUCCAGCAAUGCCGCGUGCAGGAAGAAGGCCUUCGGGUUGUAAACUGCUUUUGUACGGAACGAAAAGGCUCUUUCUAAUAAAGAGGGCCCAUGACGGUACCGUAAGAAUAAGCACCGGCUAACUACGUGCCAGCAGCCGCGGUAAUACGUAGGGUGCGAGCGUUAAUCGGAAUUACUGGGCGUAAAGCGUGCGCAGGCGGUUCUAUAAGACAGAUGUGAAAUCCCCGGGCUCAACCUGGGAAUGGCAUUUGUGACUGUAGAGCUAGAGUACGGUAGAGGGGGAUGGAAUUCCGCGUGUAGCAGUGAAAUGCGUAGAUAUGCGGAGGAACACCGAUGGCGAAGGCAAUCCCCUGGACCUGUACUGACGCUCAUGCACGAAAGCGUGGGGAGCAAACAGGAUUAGAUACCCCGGUAGUCCCUGAGCGGGCUGGCAAGGCGCAU
rnacentral:rRNA from 1 species